UACAGAGGGGGCAAGCGUUGUUCGGAAUUAUUGGGCGUAAAGAGCUCGUAGGCGGCUUGUUGCGUCGGCUGUGAAAACCCGCGGCUUAACUGUGGGCUUGCAGCUGAUACGGGCAGGCUAGAGUUCGGUAGGGGAGACUGGAAUUCCUGGUGUAGCGGUGAAAUGCGUAGAUAUCUGGAGGAACACCGGUGGCGAAGGCGGCGUUCUGGACUGCAACUGACACUGAGGAACGAAAGCCAGGGGAGCAAACGGG
rnacentral:rRNA from 1 species